UCACUUCUUACCAUUCUUUACCCAAGAAAAAAUAAGAUAAAACUCUUCUACUCCUGAAAUCAUACCGUUAGCCCUUUUCUAAUCCAUUUCCAGUAAGUCGUAUCUUUCUUAGAAUAGGAUGUGGCCUAACUAGUACUUUAUAGAGAAAAUAAUUACCUUUUUAACACUUAUAAUCAAUAUGUGUAUACAUUCACCUUGCAUCAGAGCACUCUACUGAUGGCUUGAUCAACUUAAAUAUUACUUUCCAACUAUACUGAACUUGUGAUAUAAAUUAUGAUUACCCAAAUCCAUUAUGUCAUUUGUUAACUAUUUGUCCCACUUAACAAUUGAUCCAAGUCAUCAUGUAGCAUCUCAACAUCGUCAACAAAGCUAGAAAUACUGAAGAAUUUAAUGUCAUUAACAAACUUUAGUAAUUAAUGCCAGUAAGAAAACACAGCCCCAAGCACGGACCCCUGAAGCACUCCACUAGUAUUGUUAUUGAACAAUGUUCAGUAUUGACUCCUGUGGUAUUGUUAUUAAACAAGGUUACAUAUUAACUCCACUAGUAUUGUUAUUAAACAUGGUUACAUAUUAACUCCACUAGUAUUGUUAUUAAACAAGGUUCCAUAUUGACUCCACUAGUAUUGUUAUUAAACAAGGUUCCAUAUUGACUCCUGUAGUAUUGUUAUUAAACAUGGUUCCAUUUUUGACUCCACUAGUAUUGUUAUUAAACAUGGUUCCAUUUUGACUCCACUAGUAUUGUUAUUAAACAUGGUUACAUUUUGACUUCACUAGUAUUGUUAUUAAACAUGGUUACAUAUUGACUUCACUAGUAUUGUUAUUGAACAAUGUUCAGUAUUGACUCUACCAGUAUUGUUAUUAAACAUGGUUACAUAUUGACUCCACUAGUAUUGUUAUUAAACAAGGUUCCAUAUUGACUCCACUAGUAUUGUUAUUAAACAAGGUUACAUAUUGACUCCACUAGUAUUGUUAUUAAACAUGGUUACAUAUUGACUCCUGUAGUAUUGUUAUU